rnacentral:lncRNA from 1 species
GGAUGAAGAAUUGAAACCCUAACUUUGAUUCUGUAGAAGAGGUAUGAUCUCCAGGGGCCAGGGGGGUCUGGUUUUAUAGUCCCUUCAAGUAAAUCUGGGCCGUCGGAUCAAACCGACAUUGAUCGUGUGGUUUUCCUUGAAGUAUUAGGGCGGUGGAGCAUGAUCCCCGAGUUGUACCCUGAUUGGGCAGAACAGGUGGGCGGGCGCCCUGUCCCUGAGGCCUCUCGCCUUCCACUUUGUUCCCAUGGCUUCUGGAGUCUUCUAGAUGAUAGUAAAUUGCGCGGCACGUUAAUAUCUCUAUGUAAACCCGACGUGUGGGCCUUUCUUCCAUAAUUCCUGAUAACCCCCUGCAGAAAUAGACAAACACCAAAACUCGUGGAAUUCUAUCAGAUAAAACCCUAAGUCUAGGUGUUGGUUCCAUUUAGAUCCUUUUCCAUGAUUAGUUGAUAGUUAAAUGUGAGCAUUAAGGACCGUCAACAAGCUCCCCCAAGCUUAACCUUUGAUCGUCCCUGAGCAACGAUGGACUUAAGAGAUUCUGCAGUGGUUUCAUGCCUUAAAGAUACACAUGCGUUCAAACAAGAUCUCAUCUCUAGGAUAGGGUAAACUGUUAAGAUUUAAAACUUACUCAUUUUACCUUCCACCAUGGGGCUUGCAACCGUCACAUCUGUCUUGAGUAGUUAAAAGAUAGAACGGUCUAGUCAAGCACCAUGUCUCUUAUUCUUGAUCAGCUAUAGCGCUGGAGUUUUUGCAGAUUUUCAAAUAAAACUCAGAGAUUCCUUGUAUGACUCUCUCUAGUCUCUCUUUUGUGGUAUUUCUAGAUCCUUACCCAGGCAGUAAUGGUGUAUGCCUUCUCUCAAAGUAUGUGGUAUUUUUGGUAUGAGGCAUAGUGACAUUGCCUUCUCUCUCACCCUACUCUAAUAUGGCUUUUGAUAUCUGGAGCUCAUAGGUGGGAGAUAGCUAAUACAUACUUACAAGACAUUUAUUGCAAAGUCAAACCAUGGAUCCAGAAGAACAAGUCAAUAAGUCAAAUCAAGAUGUGCAUGUGUGACGAAUGAAUGGUGUAUGGUAAUGAUGGUGAUAACAAUGGUGAAAGUCUAAUUCUACUUUUGCUCUUUUGAGGGGGUACAUACCUUUCUUGCUCUUUUGAAACUUUUUGAGGAGAAUGAGAUGCUCUAUAUUUUCUUUUUCUAUUCUCUCACGUGGGUAACUUGUACCCCUAAUUCUACUAUCGGACACUUGUCCAUUUUUACCUCUCGUCUCACUUUUUCUUUUCUUUCGAGGUUCCGGGCACUUGCCCCUUUUUAUUUCCUCGUAUCUCUUUUUUUUCUUUUUUUUCUUCUUUUUUUUAGAGAGCACUCAUCUCAUGAAAUAAUAUAGCAAGUGGUAGUAACAAGAUAACUUGAGCAUUUAUUUCACAGGGAAAACAGAAAUGUUUUUGGCUAUUCUCUCCCGGAUUAGGAGUAGAAUAUUUUUGGGUGGUUCUGGAGAUGGAAACGGAUAUAUGUGGAUGGUACUUCUGGAGUAGAAGUAGCAUGUGUGAGUGAACGUGCAAGUGAAUCUUGAUUUAACCACAUGACAAGCUCCUAAGGGUCUACAUAGCUUGACCACACUCAAUGCUGAUAAGCAGUAAAAAGUAAAUGAGUGGCUCAAAGUCUAGCAAGCAUGUAUAUAUAUGGCUGUGGUAGGAAUUUAAACUCUCAUCAUACAGGAACUCAUCAUGUGUUAUUUUAAAGAUUUUCAAAGAUAAAAUUCUCCAGAAUUCUUGUAUCUCUAGGAACAGAUAAACAGCAGCUCAACCUUCCCAUAUCAUAUUCGUUAACGACUUAGACUUUAGAUCAAGUACUCUUCCCACAAGCUCAGGUUUAGAGCAAAUCUUAAUUAAUAACAGUCAUGCCUAAACUUAAGGGAGAUUUCAAUUUUUAGAACUAAUCAUGGCAGAGCAACUAUUCAUUAUUUAUUUAUUUGUUUAGCAAGCUAAGCAAAGAUAUAUAUAUAAGCACAAAAUCUUUAUUUGGGUUUUUAUGAUUAUGCAUCUUUUUAUUAUUUCAGUAAAGUAUAAACGUGAGUAAAAUACUUAGCUGGAUAAAUGGGGGUGCUCUCCCCCAAGCUGGAUUUUGACGCAAUUUCUUCUGAUGUAGCUAGCAGGUGGCGGAGGUGUAUUUGAAUGUCGGCAGCACCCUGACAGCGAUUAGGAUGUCCUCCAUCUGCUAGUCUUCUUUGAUCCUUGAAUUCUCUUGGCAAGGCGUUCGGUGUUUUUAAGUCCUCCGAACGGGACUCCCCGUUUUCUCAGUCGUCCUAGGAUUCGCUGGAUGGCGUAGUCGGUGGUUCCAGCGGUGCUUCUUCUUCAUGUAUAACUAUCUUCUCUCUACACACCUGACUCGGUGCACUUCUUCGUAGUCUGCCCAUCCAUCCUUGAUGAUUUACCUCCUCUGGUUGCGGUUGCGUCGUCUUCUUCUUGUCCUGGCCUGCUUAGAGUCUUCAACUAUAUAGUUAGGGUCAGUAAAAUAGCGGCGUACCUUCUCAGAGGGGAAGUGCAUGUGGACUUCUCUGGUUCCAAUAUAGAUGAUUGCUUUAACGGUGCUGAGGAACGGUCUUCCAAGGAUGAUGGGUGGAUCGUACUCGUCUUCUCCCAUGUCAAUAACCUUCAAUCUUUCAGAAUGUCUGAUCUGCCAUCUAGAGCUGAAUGUAUGUUGGUUGUAGGGACAUAGUUCCAUGCAGGAGCUGAUAAGUGACUGCAGCCAUUAUGUUGACGUUAGAUCCGGUGUCGUAGAGUGUCUUCUGAAAAGAAUAUCCGUUGAUUGUGCACUCGAUGCAUGGAACACCAGGGUCUUCCUUCUUGAUCAAGAAAGGUAACUUGAGUUGACGAUCUUGACCUCCUUGAGCUGCAGUGACCAUCUUAGCUGACUCGGUACACAUUUGCUUGUUCCUAUUCCUCCUGUUGAUCCUCUUCCUUGGUUCAUGUCGGGAUUGCUUUGAGAUUUGUGUAGUCUUGUUCUUGAAGGAAAACGUCUCCUUCCUCCCCUUGAUGUAGAAUCUGAUCUUGGCAGCACUAGCGUAGAUGAUAGCUCUUGAGGUGUUCAGGAACGACCUCCCUAGGAUGAUGGGUGCCCUCUCAUCAUUACCAGUCUCUAUCACCAC